rnacentral:rRNA from 1 species
AGUGAACGCUGGCGGUAGGCCUAACACAUGCAAGUCGAACGGCAGCACAGUAAGAGCUUGCUCUUACGGGUGGCGAGUGGCGGACGGGUGAGGAAUACAUCGGAAUCUACUUUUUCGUGGGGGAUAACGUAGGGAAACUUACGCUAAUACCGCAUACGACCUACGGGUGAAAGCAGGGGGUCUUCGGACCUUGCGCGAUUGAAUGAGCCGAUGUCGGAUUAGCUAGUUGGCGGGGUAAAGGCCCACCAAGGCGACGAUCCGUAGCUGGUCUGAGAGGAUGAUCAGCCACACUGGAACUGAGACACGGUCCAGACUCCUACGGGAGGCAGCAGUGGGGAAUAUUGGACAAUGGGCGCAAGCCUGAUCCGGCCAUACCGCGUGGGUGAAGAAGGCCUUCGGGUUGUAAAGCCCUUUUGUUGGGAAAGAAAAGCAGCAGGUUAAUACCCCGCUGUUCUGACGGUACCCAAAGAAUAAGCACCGGCUAACUUCGUG